rnacentral:rRNA from 1 species
CACGUAGGGUGCGAGCGUUGUCCGGAAUUAUUGGGCGUAAAGAGCUCGUAGGCGGUGUGUCGCGUCGGCCGUGAAAACCUGCAGCUUAACUGUGGGCUUGCGGUCGAUACGGGCAUCACUGGAGUUCGGCAGGGGGAGACUGGAAUUCCUGGUGUAGCGGUGGAAUGCGCAGAUAUCAGGGAGGGAACACCCGGUGGGCGAAAGGCGGGGU